GUCAGAGGAGACUUCUUCACUAAAAAGAAGAGUUUAAUAUCAGACUUUUUAUUCUUUCAGUAAGAUUUUGUAUUUCACAGUCUCUACCCUUCUGUUUAAGAAUCUGAAAACAGGCAUUUUCUGGUUUACAUUGAAACACAGGAGUCUUAAAUAUCUCUUCAGCUGCUUCCUAAUAUUUGUUCCACAGGAAGGGAGUUAGUUCAUAGCAUAGUGUGCUUUGUUUUAUCCACAUCAGCAAAGCAGAUAAACUCAGCCUCUCUUCAUCUGGGAAAGAGGCAGAAUAGCACCAGGAGACAGGACAAUACUGAAGGAUUAUUGUGAAUGUUUCAGGGAACAAGACGACUUUCAGGUACCUGCAGUUGUUCCUUUGACUUGGCAUUUCCCUUUUCUGAACUUCAAGAGGUUCCUGUCAGCCUGUUCCUCCAUUUGCAAACAUUUGGUAUAGCAAUCACUCCUUCCAGUUUUGUAUCAUCUGGAAACCUGCUGAGAGUGCGCUCUGUCCCACUGUCCAGAUAUUUCCCCGCGUCUCAGGGAUCUGAGAUUCCUGAAGGCUGGUCUUACCAGUAGAGACCGAUGAGGAAAGAACAGGCAACUGCUCCUUCUCACCGUCCUGACCUGUCCUUCCCAAAGAGCCUGUAUACAGCCUUUGCAGUACUCUAGAGAUUUCAAAAUUCAGGCUCCAUCUACUGAAGAAUUCAAAGUUACAAGAGUGUAUUUUUAGAAAAUUGUGGACUUCUACUCAGCAUACCAGACUCCAUUACAGCACUGCUAAGAAAUCACUUGGAACAAGGGUCAUCCCAAAACAAAAGCAAUUCAAGCAGCCUAUCUGAGAGGAAGAUGAGGAAGGAAGGAAGGGGGUUUAUUUCAUCUUCCGCACUGCCAAUCAUUUUACAUCGUCCCAGAUUAUGCAAUAUACCAUAGCAGGGACUGUGAAACAUGAGUUCAUCAGGAAAGCGCACAUUUGUUAGUGCUGCUGCCACGUGUGGUCUCAGAUGUCUGAGGUAGAAAGGUCAGAGUUACAGACUUAACAGCAUCACCAUCGGGCCUCAGUCCACACCGACUCCUGGUUAUCCAUGAGGAAAGAGGUUAAACGCUUUCAUGUAAAUCUGUUUAUCCUGUAGUCAUACAAAGAAGAAUCUAGUUAAAUUAAGUAGCUCCCUUAAGAAUGACAGUUACUGUGCAGUACAGAUUAAAACAAAAUUGUAUGAAUUAGAGAUCUGAUUUCAUUUUGCAGUGAUGGUUUACAAUGUGUAGUGUCCGACAAUAUAUCCUAAAUUGAGGAUUUAAAAUGUAUAACGAUGUGUAAUGUCUUUGGUGCUCAAACUCUUGUUCCUUUGUUUGCAUCUAAAUCAUGGUGAGAAAAAACUGGGUUGGCAUAAGGCACAAGACUUUGUCUCAUAUUAAAAAAAAAAAUCAGCUCUGAUGGAAUGAGGUAAAAUUACAAAACUAAGAGCAAGAUUAUGUCAGAUCAGGGGUUGUUUCACAUGGUCACAACCUUUCUUUUCCUUGAAUAUCUGGGUUUAUUAUAUUUCAAUAAUCUUUAGAAAAGUGUUGAAAAUCCAUUUUUUAAACUGGUCUUUGUCCUUUGACUGAAUUCCUCACAUAGACAUGCACACACACCCUUAAUCCUUUCCAUUAUGCACCAACAGGCUUCAGUGGAGCCCCCAGUCACAGCACUUCUAAAGCCAAACACGUUGGGUCUCCUGUUGAAGCUAUCUUGCAAAUUCUUGCAGACCAGAUGUGUGAUCCCAGUUCAAGCAACCAGCCAGCUCUGCAAAUUGCGGGUACAAAUCAGAUACAGUCUUCUUCCUUUAUUUUGUUCUGGCUUAAAGCAGCUCUCUGAGAUCAACCUCAUCCAUGCAAUUGUCCCAAAGAGAAUUGCUAGAUUUAGCUGACAGAUGCAUAAAAUCUCAUGUUGUCACAGAAUUCCCAUGUCUAGUCAGCACCAGAUGUCAAAGAAUGCAAAUCUACAGCUGGGUCUGGUGUUCAUUUGUUCUCCAAAUUCCUUCCAUCACAGCUGUUGUUUUCCACCUUCAUGUACAUAAAGCUGCAUUUUCAGAAGCAGGAGAUAGACCAUGGCUCCUUAUAUUGAUGUGGAUAUAUAUGUUUCUUUAUUUGCAUGGAAAACACCUUUUUGGAUGGAAUAAUAGUGUAUUUGUGAGUGUAUGGUGAGUGUAUUUGUGAGAGUAUGCUCACACAUCAGUAUUGAAAACAGCUUUGCUUAUCUUAUAAUCUCUUCUCAACAAGUUCUGAACCAAAGUUGUUUUUCCAAGUAGCUAUUUAGAGGUACAGAAUUGGAUUGUCACCCUUGCUUAGGUCUCCUGGGCACCAUGGAAACUAUAAGCAUGGCCACAGUAGUACAAAACAAAAGGUCUGUAGACAUGAGGAACUGCAGAGCAGUGUUUCCUCAGUUAUCUUCAGAGGCCUUUGAUGGCCAAUCUUAGUGUCUCUCAGGAAAGGAAGCUCUAGCCUGGGACAAUAAUGAUUGUUUUGAAAUUUUGUUCUCUCUUAUGUAGAUAUUACCAACCUACACAGCUUUUGAAAUAUUGUCAGUGAGCACCAUUAAAAUAAUAUGUCUGCAAGAGCUGAGUUGAUGUGAAUUUUUCCUUUUCUUUUUCCUAUCUAAAUAAGUGGAAAAUUUGAAACAACAGGUAAGGGUGACUACAGCAGUCUACAUGUUUUCCUGAGCUUUCUGUAAAUGAAGUCAGAGGUUCAGAAUUUCCAAGGUUCACUUCCAGUGACUUCAAGUGUAGCUUAGAUUUCAUUUCCUUAAAUGAAGGUAACAUGCAUAUGGAGACCUUUUCUUUCUACUUACUUGUGAUGAUCUUCAAUUCAGUGUGAGUUCUCUGUUGCACAAAUACUAGUCACAAUCUAAGAAAAUAUUUGAUUUCUUACACCUCUGUAUUUCAGCCAGGCAAGAAAGCUGGUUUUCUCUAGGGCUGAGGACACAUUACUGUGUUUAAAAGGGAUGAGUCUUAAAUUAUGAGUGUGGUGAGUACUCAGAACACAGGUUCAAAUUGAAACAAAAAGUCCAAAAUAGACAAUUACACGUAAAUUCCUGAUUUUUAAGGAAAGCAUAGCACACACUUUACCAUUGCAACAUGCCUUAUAUUAGACUCAUAGUUUCUCAGAAUGUUCACCUUUUCCUGAACUGUUUUUAUUGACUUCAGCUAGACGAGGAUAUUGUGGUCUUGGUUUUAUCCCCUACAUGUUUCAAUGCCUGCACCAAAUGCAAUUCCCCUAACAGCGCUGUCUCCCUAACUUCACUGAAACCUGAGGUGGUAAACCAGCAGUGCUGUACAGAUUUCUCAUCCAGUACCUGUAAAUAGCAUAGACUCACCUCGCUGGAACUACUACACACUUCAAGUCAUGACCUGGCUUGCAUGAAGUUAUCCCAGCUCUGUCUACAUCUCUGCUACCCAAUGCUUCCAGUUCUCACCCUAGGGCAAGCAGAGGCAGGUCGGGUACCUGCAUCUGUCGUAUGAAUACUCAUAAACCUUCACGUUCCCAAUAAGAUUGAAUCAAAUAAACAAAUCUGGCUAGAAAAUAAUGAAAAGUUGACUCUUAAGGUUGCAUAAGCUGAUGCCAGAGUCCUACUAUUCUCAUGAAAUGCUUUAACAUAACUUGAGUGAUAACUAUGAAACACACAAGAGGAAUAAAGACGUAGUGUGAAUCCCCAGGUAUUUCUGUAUUUAUUAACUGUGGCCGUAAGACAGAGUAAUGGUAAUGAAAAUGUUAAGUGGCAAAGGCACUUUUGGGAAGUCUAGCAGUGUUUAUUACUACUAUUAUUAUAUACAUAUCCACAAUAUCCAUUUUUAAAGUAGAUAAUAGCAUCGAUUUAGGAAAGCACUGAUUUAAGAUAAAAAAAAAAAAAAGUGGUGCUUAAUGGUUUUACAUUAAGCAUUAGCAGAGCCAUCCACUAUCAGAUAAGAGGAAAGGAGAGAGAAGAGUAUAAAAUACUUUGUUUGAAGUUAUAUGACCCAGCACAAAUAGCCCUAGUGACAUUUUAAGAUCAAAUAGUCCCAGCAUCAGAUACAUGUACUUCAAAUCACAAGGGGAAGUUUUGACAAGUUGAGCCUGAUCUGUCUAGGAUCUAGUGCUAGUGCUCUGAGUGACAGAAACUUUUAUUUAAUUCUGACUUCCUGGAGUUUAUCCUGCAUAUUUUUAAAAGUAUCAGCAGGUUGCAUGUACUUAUUUGACAUUGAAUGCUUUAUAGCAACAAUAUCUCAAUGAACUGCUCAUUAAAAAAAUUAAAAAUGUGUUUACCUAGUUAUAUUUUUAGAUUAUUAUAUUUAGAUUAGUGACUGUUUUUCUGAAGGAAUAGAAAGGAAUUACUCCCAUGGUAAAAGCAAAUAUUUCUGAAAUUGAUGAAGAAAUACAUGUUCAGGUGUUAAAAACAAACAAACAAAAAACAAACAAAAAAAA